UUGUUUCGGGACUGGUAAAAGUGUUUUGCGUCUUGUUAUUUUGGUUUCUAAAAUGUUAUUUUGUUUUCUAAAAUGUCAAUUUGUUUUGUCCUUGGUAAAAGUGUUUAGCCCAUGGAUUUGUGUUUUAUGGUAGGUAAAAAUGUUUUCCAAAAUGUAAUUUUGUGUCGGGCUUUGUAAAAGUGUUUCAUUCUUGUAAUGUUGCUUUGCACUUCUCGGCCACCGUAGAGUUUCUCCAUCUUCCAGUGAAAUCCAAAGAUGGGAAAGUCUCAAAGUGUUCUUGCGAAGAAUGGAUACACCAUUGUGAAGGAGAUGGAAAAUGGUGUCCUUGGUACCGACAAAGACUGUGACAAUUAUUUUAUUAAAGAGAUACGUAAGUCCAUCAAAUGCUCAAGAAUUAGGAGAACAGCAAGUUGCACUUGGACAGAAGAAAGGACCACUUGUACUUGACAUCUUGACCAGAUGGAAUUCUACCCUAGAGAUUGUCAAGUGGAUCCAGCAUAAUUGUCAUCUUGACGGCACGGGACCUUGAUAAACUGCAAAGGCUUGUGGAACUACUUGAACCUUGCAGGUUAGUAAAUUUUUCUCACUCUAGUGUUUGUGGUCUCUCUUUGUGUGUGUAUGUAUGUGUGUGUGUGUGUGUGUGUGUGUGUGUAUGAUCUAUGUGGUGAGGUUCAAGAAAGUGUUUACCACAGACCUAGCAAAACGGAAGGAAAGCACAAACCUCACAUGGCUGAAGAUCGCUACUGCACUGGAUCCCAGGUUUAAGGACCCACUGUAAAGUGUCUUCACAAGGAUGAAAGGAAUGUGGUGUGUACCUCAAUAAGCAACCUGGUAAAGGAGGAAAAGCUGGCACAACACCGUCUACAGACACAACAGGAAAAGAGCCAGUAAAGAACAGAAUUUCAUCUUUCUUGUCUGGUUAAUCUGAUUCAGAUGAUGAAGAGUCCAUAGACAAAUGUCUGGACCGCUACAAAUCAGAGCCCAAAGUCGACAUGGACCAGUGUCCACUGCAGUGGAGGUCAUCAAGUGAUGGAGCAUGUCCUGAUGGCACGCAUUGUACGCAAGUACCUGUCUACACCUGCAAACACAGUGCCUAGUGAGAGUUGUUCUCACUCUCAGGCCACAUUGUCCAGAAAAUGAG
rnacentral:lncRNA from 1 species